AUACGGAGGGUGCAAGCGUUAUUCGGAAUCACUGGGCGUAAAGGACGCGUAGGCGGGUUGGCAAGUCAGAUGUGAAAUCCUACAGCUUAACUGUAGAACUGCAUUUGAAACUGCUAACCUAGAGUAUGGGAGAGGGAGAUGGAAUUAGUGGUGUAGGGGUAAAAUCCGUAGAUAUCACUAGGAAUACCGAAAGCGAAGGCGAUCUCCUGGAACAUAACUGACGCUAAGGCGUGAAAGCGUGGGGAGCAAACAGGAUUAGAAACCCUUGUAGUCC
rnacentral:rRNA from 1 species